UGAAUACGAGACGCUAAGGCGUCGAAGUAGUGUAUGUCAUACUUCCAAGAAAAGCUUGCACUGUCAUAGAUAAAAAACGCCUGUACCAUAACCGACACAGGUGGGUAGGUAGAGUAUACUAAGGGGCGCGAGAUAACUCUCUCUAAGGAACUCGGCAAAAUAACUCCGUAACUUCGGGAGAAGGAGUGCCUUAUUAUUAAGGUUGCAAUAACAAGAUCCAAGCAACUGUUUAUCAAAAACACAGGUCUCCGCUAAGUCGUAAGACGAUGUAUGGGGGCUGACGCCUGCCCAGUGCCAGAAGGUUAAAGAAGCUGGUUAGCAUUUGCGAAGCUAGUAACUGAAGCCCUGGUGAACGGCGGCCGUAACAAUAACGGUCCUAAGGUAGCGAAAUUCCUUGUCGGGUAAGUUCCGACCCGCACGAAAGGCGUAAUGAUUUGGAUACUGUCUCGGAGAGGGGCUCGGUGAAAUAGACUUGUCUGUGAAGAUGCGGACUACCUGCACCAGGACAGAAAGACCCUAUGAAGCUUUACUGUAACUUGAAAUUGAAAUUGGACUUUAUUCGCGCAGUAUGGGUGGGAGGCGUUGAUUAUAAUCUUGCGGGAUUAUUGGAGCCAUUAGUGAGAUACCACUCUUGUAAUGUUAGAUUUCUAACUUUGAAUCAUUAUCUGGUCAAAGAACAGUUUCAGGCGGGCAGUUUGACUGGGGCGGUCGCCUCCUAAACGGUAACGGAGGCGUACAAAGGUUUCCUCUGAACGGUUAGAAAUCGUAUCUAGAGUGUAAAGGCAUAAGGAAGCUUGACUGUGAGACCUACAAGUCGAGCAGGGACGAAAGUCGGUCUUAGUGAUCUGACGGUACUGAGUGGAAAGGCCGUCACUCAACGGAUAAAAGUUACUCUAGGAUAACAGGCUGAUCUCCCCCAAGAGUUCACAUCGACGGGGAGGUUUGGCACCUGGAUGUCGGCUCAUCGCAUCCUGGGGCGGUAGUACGUCCCAAGGGUUGGGCUGUUCGCCCAUGAAAGCGGUACGCGAGCUGGGUUCAGAACGUCGUGAGACAGUUCGGUCCAUAUCCGGUGUAGGCGUUAGAAUAUUGAGAGGAGCCUUCUUUAGUAUGAGAGGACCGAGAAGGACGUACCUCUGGUGUACCAGUUAUCGUGCCAACGGUAGACGCUGGGUAGCUAUGUAUGGAGUGGAUAACCGCUGAAAGCAUCUAAGUGGGAAGCCCACCUCAAGAUAAGUAUUCUCAU
rnacentral:rRNA from 1 species